rnacentral:rRNA from 1 species
GACGGGGGAUGCAAGUGUUAUCCGGAAUAAUUGGGCGUAAAGCGUCUGUAGGUGGUUUACCAAGUCUGUUGUUAAAAAUCAGGGCUUAACCCUGAUCCGGCAACAGAAACUAGUAGGCUGGAGUACGGUAGGGGCAGAGGGAAUUCUCGGUGUAGUGGUGAAAUACGUAGAUAUCGAGAAGAACACCAAUAGCGAAAGCACUCUGCUGGGCCGAAACUGACAUUGAGAGACGAAAGCUAGGGGAGCGAAAGGGAGUUAAG